UGCCUAAACCUUUAGAGAUAAAGGCAUGGCGAGAAGGCCGUUCAAGAUAAAAAACCCAUCAUGUAGAAUUUGUCUUGAACGGCCGUAUCGGGAAACUGGUACGGAGGGCUUUGGUCCUC
rnacentral:sRNA from 1 species